rnacentral:lncRNA from 1 species
GACAAAGAUAACGCCAUCUUGGGGAAGGCUGACGCUUAACUCUUAAGAACGUGAACUCCUGGGCCGGGCGCGGUGGCUCACGCCUGUAAUCCCAGCACUUUGGGAGGCUGAGGCGGGUGGAUCAGGAGGUCAGGAGUUUGAGACCAGCCUGACCAACAUGGUGAAACCCCGUCUCUGCUGAAAAUACAAGAAAAAAAAAAAAUUAGCCGAGCGUGGUGGUGCGCGCCUGUAUUCCCAGCUACUCAGGAGGCUGAGGCAGAAGAAUCGCUUGAACCUGGGAGGUGGAGGUUGCAGUGAGUCGAGAUCAAAAAAAAAAAAAACAAAGAACACGUGAACUCGAAAGCUGACUUUCUGGGUUGGAAUCGCUCUUCACGGCUUACUGCUUGUGUGACCUUGGGCAAGUUACUUAACUUCCGUGUGCCUCAGUUUCCAAAGGGGGAUAUAAUUUUAUUUACCUAAUGGGUCUUAGUGAGGAUUAGAUGAGUUAAAUGAGCUAGUCUUGAUAAAAAUGUUAAUGAUUAUGGUAGACAGACCAAUCACCCUCACCCCGACUCCCAGAUGUCUACCUUCUAAUCCCCAGAAUCUGGGUAUAUGGUGACCUUUAUAUAGCAAAAGAGAAUUGGCAGAGAUGAUGAAAUUAAAGCGAUUGAGAUGGGGAGCUAGCCUGGAUUGUGCAGGUGGGUCCCCUAUCAUCAAAACCAUCCUUAUAAGGGGUAGACAGGAUGGCCAGAGUCAGACAGAGAUCAGAGAUGCUUUGAAGAGGGAGAGUGGGACCACAUGCCUAGGUAUGCAGGAGGCCGCUAGAAAAAGCAAAGAAAUGAGCCCUCCUCCAGAGUCUCCAGAAGGAAUGCAGCAUUGCUGACACGGUGAUUUUAGUCUUGUAACACUCAUCUCAAACUUCUGACUUCCAGAACUCUACCAGAAUACGUUUGUGUUGUUUUAAGCCACCAAACUUGUGGCAAUUUGUUACAGCAGCAAGACGAAAGUGAUCAUAAUGAUUGUAACAGUGGCAUUUAGUAUAUGUGGGGCAUGUGUAUGACUCUUUGCAUAGAUUAUAUUAUAUAAUCCUUGCAAGAAUCCUAGAAGCGGACCUAUUAUCCACCAUAUUAGAGAGAAGAAAAAUGAGACUCAUCACAUCCUCAUCUCAUCUGUCUUUAUGGAGAAAAUGGGAAAAGGGAAAAGGAGAGGGGAAUUGAGGCAGUUGACUGUGUUCAGUCUUAUUUAUUUAUUUUCAUUUGUUUAUUUCUCCAAGUCCGCCAGUCUCUGAAAUUAGAACAGUAAGCAAUAUGAGAUAAUCGGGCCUAAUAAUGUUGUGAUUCUCUUUUCUUAAUGGAGUGGAAUGUUCUGUCCCCACAAGAAGGAUUAUACCUUAUAGACUUGUCUUGUUCAGAUUCUGUAUUUACCCAUUUUACUGAAACACAUACUAAAUUCCAUGUGUUUUUGUUACAAAUCUUCUGAAAGAAAAUGUGAAACAUUAAAAGGUAUUAAUAAUAAUUUUUUUUAAAAGGAAAAAAAAUGAGGCUCAGUUGCUUAAAUGGCAUGCCAGGGGUCAUUUCCCAGCUAGCAAGUGAAGGAGCCUUCAGUUAAAAAAUAACUCAAAGACAUUGAGUUAAUUAUUGGCGUGUUAUUUACUUGUAACUAGUGGAACCAGUAUAGACUGACUUCAUCUCAGAAAGCGAGGAAAGGAUUUAUAUAGAAGAAACACAGCUUCUAAACUAUGAAUGUUGGUUUUUUUGCCUAGCUGGACCCUGGCAAUGAAGCCAGUGAGUGUUCUGAUCCUGGAAAGCUAGAAAGAAAGUAAUUCUAGUUGCACGUGAAUGUCCCUGAAGACCAUGAGAAUUUAGCUUCCUCUGCACGAUGCCUGUCAGGGUCCUUGGUUGUCAUCUCCAUCUUAGCGAUGCAGGUUUGCACCCUCACCCUUGUCAGAAAUUCUCCCUAGAGUGGCAUCCAGCUGAUUGUAACCACCUCCCAAGCCACUUAAAUGACCAGGAGCAAGCUAGUGAGUCCCCUUUAUUCCCAGGCUCACUCAUUUUGCAGGCUGCAAAAGCACAAAAUAACUUAAUCUUGCAUUGACCAGAAUGCUCCCCUGUCAUACAAAUGAUUUUUCACAUAUCCCCCCAUUUCCUCAAACUCUCUCCUCUUUGUUUAUGUGUUCCAAGCAUCUGGGUCUAUCUGGAAUUGCCUUCCUCUACCAAGUACAAAAGUUGAAGCCCAGCCCAGUAUGUUCUUUACUCAGUCACCCUCUAAAUACAUGGACCUGGGUUUGUUCUGGAAGAAAGGGAGGGCAGGGACAUCCUAGUCUGGUGAAAAGAGCACAGGAUUUCCUCCGAGGCCGCUAGCACUCCGUUCCAGCUACGUUCCUUUAGUUAGUUUGGCAGCUCCCAUCUCCCCUCUGAGCCUCGGUUCUUUUACCCAGUUGGGCACACAGGAUGUUUGAGAUAAAGAGUGUAAGAAUGGUUUGCAAACUGAAAAUGCUGUGCCUGCAUCACUUGCAGGAUAGUUCUGCUCAGUGCCAGUUUUCUCACAGCAGAAGGCGUGUGCGUACCAACAGUCUGUGUUAUGACACUGCAUAUUUUGCAGUGUUUUGACCUCCGGUUUGUCCUUACCCCUUCUUUUAGGUGCUUUAAAUAAAGGGGGAGAGAGGAAAUCUUCUGAAGCAGAUGACAAUUAUUUCCCCCAAGCACAGCCACCAAGCCAUGCUCUUAUUUUGAAUGAUCUGCGUCAUUUUCCAACAUGAAGCCUCAGAAGGACAUGAUUACAGGCUGGACUCACCGACUGUAGCCUGUGCAGCUAUUGUAAUGUUUUAAUCAGUGAUUAAGUCAAGAGGUUUAAUUUAGUACCGGGCUCCGUUAAGCUUGUGAAAAUGGUUUUCUGCCUCCUCAAACUAAAAAUGUGUCUCUCCCCCAUGUGUCCAGCCCGAAGCAUCUUAACCUUUGUUCUAUCUUCAACACCGCUGGCUCUAACAAAUUACUCAGCAGUGAAUGAAUUAGCUGAGUCCAAUGUGUGAAAAAAGAUUAGGCUGGACCUAGGAAAAUUAGCUUCUAAGCACAGCACAGGAUGAGGCAUAAAGAUACCUGGACUCGUGCCCUGCAUGACAAAGAAGCUAAGCUUCAUUAGCGUCAGUCAUGACAUCCGUCAUUGGCAUUAUCUCAUUGAAUCCCUGCGACAACCUCAGGGGCAGAUGCUAUUAUUAUUCGCAUUUUGUAGAUGAAGAAAACUGAGACCCAGAGAAGGUAAAUAACUUGUCCAUGGUCACACAGGCAGUCUUGGUCCCAGGAUUUGAGUUGAGGCAGCCUAGCUCUGGGAUCCCCACACUGUCCUUCCUCCCUCGCUGGAUCUGAGACUACGUUAGCUUUGCAUUCAUUCAUUGAUUAACUCUGUUGGGGAAAGGGGACAUUUUAGGGAGCUACCCCAGAAUAGUUCUGCAGGAGGGACCUGUCUUUAGGUCAUUGCAAGCAGAGAUGACUAAGGAGGUGAGUGCCAGGAGUCCUGACCAUGCAAGCUAGAACUGGACAAGCAUCAUUUGGUAUCACGGAGAGCCCAGCCGAGCUUGCAAAUCUGGAGUAACAGGAUGGCCUAUGGGGCUUUUUCUGCAGCCUGGGGAAUUGGUGCCUGAGGCCAUGGCUAAAAAAAAAAAUGAGAGUUGCUAAAAACUACAGCCUCAAACUCUUAAUGGGGGCCCAAGUGCUGCCCCCCAGCUUCAACCCAAUGGCUUACUAUGAACAGGAGAAGAUGCUUUAUAGUGCUCAAAUCCACCCGACCCCACUGGAUUUAGAGAGGCAGCAGGGAAGUGGUAGAGGGAGCUGUCCACAUUAUGAGAUGUUGGCCUCAUAGAGAGGGACGGGAGGGACAUUUCUCUAAACUCCUAAAGCCAAGUGAGGGGCUCCAAAGAUGAGGAACAGAGUUCAAAUCAGAGAUCUGGCAAUGUCAUGGUGGGGAGUCUUGAAGGUGACCCAGCUGAACCCAAGAAGUAGGAAAAAGCAGAGAAAAGCCACAGCAAGAAGUAGGGAAAAGCAGAGAAAUGCCACAGUAAGAAGUAGAGAAAGCAGAGAAACAUCACAACUAGAAGCAGCCCAGGUCCCCGACCCUUCUUGUUGGCCCUGCGUUAGUUUCCUAGGGCCACCAUAACAAAAUGUCACAGACUAGAUGGCUUGAAACAAUAGAAAUUUAUUGUCUCACAGUUCCAGAGACUGGAAGCCCUAAAUCAAGGCAUCGCAAGGCCAGGUUCCCUCUGAAACCUGUAGGGGGAAUCCUUCCUUUCCUCCUCCCAGCCCCUGAUAGUGAGUGGCAGUCCUU